rnacentral:rRNA from 1 species
UACGUAGGGGGCAAGCGUUGUCCGGAUUUAUUGGGCGUAAAGAGCGUGUAGGCGGCCAGAUAGGUCCGUUGUGAAAACUCGAGGCUCAACCUCGAGACGUCGACGGAUACCAUCUGGUUAGAGUCCGGAAGAGGAGAGUGGAAUUCCUGGUGUAGCGGUGAAAUGCGCAGAUAUCAGGAAGAACACCCGUGGCGAAGGCGGCUCUCUGGGACGGUACUGACGCUGAGACGCGAAAGCGUGGGGAGCAAACAGG